GAUUGUUCGUUUUUCUCACACAAAAAUCAGCAUGCAUGUGUUGACCAGGGUAGUUGAGUAUUCAUGAUGAAAAACACAUGUUUUGUUGUGUCUUGUGACACCAUAGGUUAGUGCUGUAUCUUGUGACAUCUCCGAUGCAGUGAGAGCGGGACAGUGGUGGACUAGCAUGGAUAUGAUGCCCUCUACUGCCCCACCAUAGCUCACACAACUGCAGGAAAAAGAUGACAUCGAGUCGCAGUGGUCAUCUGAUGAGCUUGAUGCUUUUGAUUACCCAUGACCUGCUGGAGGAAGAAGCAGUCAGGGAAAAGGCAGCGUAUAUAGAAGAUAACUGCUCUGCUCCCGGAUAUGCCUGGGGGUCUUCAUGAGCUGCAGGUGUCGUACCACUCUGACCAAUGUAUUCUCAUUUGAUCUGCUUUGAAUACCUGACAUGUGAAAUCACCCAUUACAGCCAUACAAAAUCCUAACUUAAUUAUCUUCUGUGCUACAUAUUGAUUUUGCAGUAUGUAUUAAAGCUUAUUUUGAUUUGCAUGGAAACUAAAUGAAUUGAAUGAAAGGAAUCGAUCUAAAACCUCCUCCUUGGAAUCUGUGCAAAAAG